CCAAAGAAGACUCUAGCUGUCCAAAGGAGGACCACGUGACAGUGUGGUCUUGCAUUUCAUGCGUCAGUUCAGAAAUGGGGGAAGAAGUCCCGUGCCAAUUCUUGUUGAAACUUGUAUACAUUACUCAACUCCUUUACUAGGCAUUCUAUUCUAGUAAACGAAGAAAAGUGGAAAGAAGUCAUUUUUGGGUGAAUUCUGUGUUCUCCGAUUCGGACAAUUUGACAACUAAUAAUAAAAGAAGAGAGGAAAGAUACGCGGGAACGAACGCUAUUUGUUCAUUACUUGGCGGCAGCCGAGAGGUGGCGCUACUCUUGUCAAUGAAUAUGUUUAGCCGCCAUCUGUUUAAUGUUGUCAAUUAAUCUUAUCAAUGAACCACUCUACCCUGUAUCCGUGAAUGCUAUUAUAUUCUAAGUGGAAGUCCCAGAGAGACUUGAGUGUCACUCAAAGGGUGAGAUGGCUGAGGUUAGGGAAGGGUUGCUUAAGAAGCAGAACAAGGUUGAUUAUUAUGAGAACUGCCCCGGUUGUAAGAUUGACCACCUGAAAGAAACCACACCCGGCCCUCCUCUCAAGCAUUUGCUCUAUGUGUUUAUCGUGGUCCUCGCUGCAGCUUUGCCCAUAUCAUCUCUGUUCCCUUUCCUAUAUUUCAUGAUAAGGGACUUCCAUAUUGCAGAAAGGGAGGAAGAUAUUGGCUAUUAUGCUGGUUAUGUGGGAUCUGCAUUUAUGUUUGGAAGAGCUUUGACUUCUGUGCUCUGGGGAAUGAUAGCUGAUCGAUAUGGUCGAAAGCCUGUAAUAUUGUUCGGCACAAUUAUGUUGGUUAUUUUCAAUACUCUUUUUGGCCUUAGUACAAACUUUUGGAUGGCAGUUUCUACAAGGUUUCUUCUUGGAAGUUUGUGUGGUAUACUUGGCCCAAUGAGGGCAUAUGCUUCGGAAAUUUGCCGUAAAGAAUAUCAAGCUUUGGGAAUGUCAAUUAUUAGCACAUCAUGGGGCGUUGGAUUAGUCAUUGGUCCAGCUGUUGGAGGUUUUCUUGCCCAGCCUGCAGAGAAGUAUCCAGACAUAUUUUCUGAAGAAUCUCUGUUUCGGAGGUUUCCGUAUUUGUUACCUUGCCUUCUCAUAUCAAUCUUUGCAUUGGGAGUAUCUGUUCUCUGCUGUUGGCUCCCGGAAACGCUACAUAUGCAUACUAAAAACAAACGAGAGCUUGAGGACUCAUAUGAUCAACUAGAGUCCACCACUUAUGGGCCUGCUGAGGAAGGAAAUAUGCAAAAGUCUGGGGAGAAGUAUCCAGCUUCUCAACAGAGCCUUCUGAAAAAUUGGCCAUUAAUGUCAUCUAUCAUCGUCUACUGUGUUUUCCAGCUUCAUGAUAUGGCUUAUACAGAGAUUUUUUCAUUGUGGGCUGUUAGUCCCAGGAAAUAUGGGGGAUUGAGCUAUUCGACUACAGAUGUUGGUGAAGUUCUUGCGAUUACAGGCUUUGCUCUAUUAGUCUUUCAACUAUUUGGAUACCCCUUGGUAGAGAGGAUAUUUGGGCCCAUCAUGGUAUCUCGCAUUGGAGCUGUCUUGACCAUACCAUUGCUGUCAAGUUACCCUUUCAUAUCUAUGCUUUCUGGCCUCAGCCUCACACUAUUGACUGACUGCGCAUCUAUAUUGAAGAAUGUGCUCGCUGUCGCCAUCACUACAGGAUUGUUCCUUUUGCAGAACAGAGCUGUGGCCCAAAAGCAAAGAGGAGCAGCAAAUGGCAUAUCAAUGUCUGCUAUGUCUUUCUUUAAAGCAGUUGGUCCAGCUGGUGGAGGUUUGCUAUUUUCUUGGGCACAGAAGCGUCAGAAUGUGUCUUUUCUUCCAGAGAAGCAACACACACUAAUAUGGAAUUACAAUAAAUGAGAACAUUAUUGGACACUCCCCUGGUCAAGCUGAGGCGAAGAUAUCUCGCAUGCCCAGCUUGCACAAGGCUGAAUGAAGAACAUUAUUGGACACUCCCUUCGUUAAAAUAUUUGCAAGUUGCUCCCCUGUCUUCACAUACGGUGGUCAUAUGGUUUUCUUCAUUCUGAACUUGAUUGAGGCGAUUGGACUGCUGAUGACUUUCAAACCUUUUCUAGCUGAACCAGCUGAGGACAGCAUUUCAUAGCUCAAUCCUAGAGCUUGACAGGAUUUUGAAAUUUCAUCCUUUGAAGAAUGUGUCAAAAAAUUUGUUCCAACCCACAUUAUUUGGCCGGGCAUUACUCACACUCACAUCUCUCUCUCUCUCUCUCUCUCUCUCUCUCUCUC